AUUUAACACUUCACCUAAAUGAAUCCGGACGGAUGUCUGAAACAUGUAUUCACUGACCAUGUCUGUUCAAUCUCCACUCAUAAAGCUAGUAGCGGCACUUGUUAGCAUAUGUUUGAUGCAGUGACCAUGAUCAGUUUUACAACCUCGGUGUAAGGUGUCCUAUUAAUACCGCAUGAUGAUUAUAGUGAUGAUAUAAUAUAUGAUGAUAUAAUCAUCAUGAUGAUUAUAUCCAUAGUCUGUUAGCCUAUGGAUGCUCAUAUCUACCUGUUAGUAAUGGAAUGUCAUAUAAUAUGAUGAUCUUAUCGUCAGACUUUGAUUCCUAUAUUUGUUUUGACAUAAUUGCCAAAACUGUGUGCGUCAUGAUGCAAUCAGAUGUUUGGGAAAUCCCGGAUUGUAAUAACGCAUUUAUCGUUGACGGUCGUCUAGCCUCUACACCUUUAAGACGUCGAAACUGUGCGAAUUGGGAGUGGGCAUAUGUUCGACUGUAAAAUCACAACACUUCGCAAUGGGAAAACUGUGAAGAGGACCAUCUGCGCUGACCACUAGUUAUAGAAAAGCCAGCGACAACGAUAUUUAUCACAUCGACACAAAAAUAUCUGCCGGUAUCCUGCAUGUUGUACUGUUGUGGAAGCAAGGACAAGGAGAAGCAGCGCCCGGGCGCUGCAGAGGUGUCGAGAGUUCUAGAGACAGAGACAGAGAAAAACCGAAAGAGCCAAGAAAGUGCACCUCAACCACUGGACAUGUACGGAAUAGCGACGAUGCCCGAGCUUCUACCACCCUCUGGCGUACUCCAGCCCAGCUCAGUAAUCCCACGCGAGUCGGGUGAGGUGCCUGGUUUGUGGAAUGGAUUCAACAGGGGUGUGCUGAGUUUUGACUCCCCCCAGCGGAGACGAGGCCAACGGGCCCCGAAGUUAGGGCAAAUAGGACGGUCGAAGAGAGUGGUUAUAGAGGAUGACGACUUGGAUGAUGUCAUGAAACACAAUGGCCUCCCCAUAUCAAUCAAUAUCUCUCCUGUUGCCUGAACAACUCUGAUAGUGUCCAGACCUCAAGAGGCUAUUGUGCUCAUUUGUGAAAUUCUGAAGUGUAUACCACUUGUUCUGGACAAUGUCCAAUUCAGGUGCCCAUUGCAAAGUUUACAAUAGUAGCAUGCGCAUCACAUGUAGUUUAGCUUUUCCUGGACACAGGAAGGUCGGUGUCCCAAGGAAAUUGAAGUAAAAAACAGUGCAUCUUUGCUUCAGCUGCUGUUCUGGUGUUGAAGGGGGGACUUUGUGUCCUGAGGAGAGGGGAGUAAUUAGGAUAGAUUUGGGUCCGGACAGGCUGAAACAUAAGCACACAAGAGAAGGCCCUACCCAUCAAGACCUGCCCCUUCAAAAUGAGUGGACCUGUUUGUUUGUUGUUCAGUCUUUAGUGUCUGUAUUUUAAACACUCCAUCCAAGAUGUUAUUUUAAUUUAUGUGUCAAUCCAACCCAUAUCUAAUUGAGAAAACAGCUACUCAUAGUGCUGGGCAGUGUUUUCACAAUAUUAUUUAUUUUACAUUAUGUACGCUUUUUCAGUGUUUCACAUAUUAUGUUGACAACACUUAUUUUAGUUUUUGACGGAUGACAACACUGUCUCAUUUUGGUGCAAACUAAUUAUCUGUAAAAUCUGUUGUAAAACGUGUUAGAUACACUGAAGGCUUUAAUUUGCUGUUGUAACAUGUCAUAAUCAUUGUCUUAGUAUAACUGUAUGUUACUUUUACCCCUGAGUUGCUAGACAAAAAGAGUUCCCACUGUGAACUAUUUAUGGAACUUCUAUGUAUCCCUUUGAGGUGUAAUAUACACAUUUUUUACAACCAGCUUCCUGUUAUAUUCUUCACCAUAAUGCCACAUCUGUUAGAAAAGUCAUGUGACAUUCAGAUAAGUAGCCUAACUGAUGUUAAACCCAGCUAUGAAGCAGAACACUACAUGGAGGAGCAACUCACAAGGAAUUUGGUGUAAGACUCACCGAGCUUUGAGGAAUACAUUGUUUUGAUGUAAUCAUUGUUCAGUUUGGCUGUCAUCUCUUUGUCAAGAUUAAUAGAUGUAAAGUUAUAAAAUGUACCCCUCACUAGAGAGAUACAAGCAGGGUUUAGUUUAAAUCAAUUCACUUUACAAGUGUUUUCUAAAUGGCAUGUAUUAUUGUAAAUCCUCCUUGAAUCUACCUGUUAGUGUUUUCCAACCCUUUUCAGUUAUCAAAUUUUGUCACAUGCACCGAAUACAACAGGUGUAGACCUUACCGUGAAAUGCUUACUUACAAGCCCUUAACAAUGCAGUUAAGAAAAUAUUUAAGCAAAUUGUACCAAGAGAAUUUUGCUCUACCCAGAGUACCCCUGACAUACCCCCUCAUGUGCAUUAUACCAGUAUUAUCUCACGAGUCUUCUCAAGUACCCCCCGUCAAGUACCCCCAGGGGUCCUAGUAACCCGGUUUGGGAACCACUGUGUUAGUGUGAUCCGCUGUUGUGUAAUGGUAGUAUGCACCAUCAGAUGGCGAUAAAGUCAAAGGAACAGUCGUCAGCCCAAAAUCUCUUACUCAACCCCUCAAUCUGUUAUUCAUUUGUAAUAAAACCUGUUUGUCUUUGGAAAGUCACAAGCU
rnacentral:lncRNA from 1 species